GACAACACAAAGAAGAAAAGAUGAUAAAACUCCUGAACAUUUCCAGAAAACCCUAAAUCGGCAAAUAAGGGUUUUUGAAAGUAAUUUUCAAAUAAAGGUUUAGGGAAAUCGCUUGAAAACUCAUGAAUAGCAUAGAUACACAACCAAUCUAAAAAGAACUGAAGAAAAACCUAUGAUAGCUAGGGUUUCAGAGGAACCCUAGGGUGAGAAAGGCUUUGGAAAAGGUCCGAUCUAAGUCGGAUAAGGUUGGAAUCAGGCUCAGGAGGCUAGGAUAUGCUGGAGCGAAGCCGGGAGAUGGACGGAAACCUUGAGUCGAAGAAGGUCCAGUCUUGAACCAUCAAGAAUCAUGCACAUAGGAGUAAUAAGAGGUGAGUAUAUGUCAUCUACGGCCUGAGAAGCCAUGAAUUCUGGUGGGGUUGUGGUCGGUGAGGCGCUGGAGUUCAUCGGAGAAGACAGAACCAGAAGGUUGUAGAGAGAAGGGAGAGGGAGUGGCGAUAUAGAGAGAGA
rnacentral:lncRNA from 1 species